rnacentral:lncRNA from 1 species
UUUUUUUUAUUCUAAAAAUAGUAUUGCAAGUUUUGGCUUUUACCUUGACAUAAAAAUCACCAUUUUGUGUGCAAAACGCUUUAACAGUGGAAGAAACUCGUCGGAGGAGUCGAGGGGUUUCCAAUGUCAGACGUGGUCCCCCCCAGCCCGCGCUCGGGGCUCGCUUGCUCACAGCACGAUUCAGAGAGCAGGAACACUUUGAACAGCAGUUGGAGCCCGGGGUGGCCGCGGGCUGGCAAUGGGGCGGUGGGGGUGCAGUGCCGGGGCUCACCCCGGCUUCCCGCGGGCCCUUCUCCACUCGCAGACACACGAGUGAUCUGAGGGACCCCCUGUGGGCUAAGGGCUGAGGGGAGGGAGGCGGCAGCUCCCUGGGAUGCUCUGCUCCCCCGGUGAGCCGUGGGUUGUUCCAGUUUUGGGGGGUCGGAUGGGGUGGAAUGAGGGGAGCCACCCAUGGAGAGGCUCCCACCACCAGCCCCACAACCCCCGGGGGGAUCACGAGGGUGAAACCACAGUUAGAAGAAUGAAACCAUCAAGGUGGCAAAAAGGACCCGCUCCCCAUCUUCUGCCGGCACCAUCCCUCCUCCCGAGCCCCUUCCAGCCCGGGGGGCACCGGGGGCUCACCGUGAGCCCCGGCUGAUGCCGAGCGGGACCGGGGUGCAGCAGAGGCCAUGCAGCCCUUCUGCAAAGCAGCAGCUCUCAGGGUGGUGGUAACCGGUGCUAAGGAGGAGGAGGAGGAGGAGGAGGAGGAGGAGGAGAGGGGCUGGCUUCUACACUAUAUGGCAGCUGCAGGUAAUUUGGAUGCUUACACUCGGUUUUCUUUAAAGGUGCUUGGUAUAACUUUAGAUAUAUAAUAUACAUGUAAUAUUGCUAAUAGUCAAGCAUAAGAAUAAAGGUGCAGACAUACCAUAAAUACUGAUGCUUUGAUUUUACACUGUCAGACCUAGGUGAAUGCAGUUUCCUAUUCACAUUAUAAAGCAGCCCCAAAUUCUAUAAUUGCAAAUAGUGUCGUAAACAAAGAGGAGGAAGGAGUCGGUUCUGAUCUGAUCUUCUUCAUCUGUUUUCCUUGGAAAAAAAAAAGGAUCAAAAAAUUCUAAGGCACUCAGGAAAGCCGCAUACAAUCGAUGACUGCUCUGUUCCCACCUUACAUUCAGUGUUUGAGAGGGGUUACUCUAUUUUUUUUUUGUUGUUUUUGUAGGGUUUUUUUUUUUUCUCGGAAGAAUACAAUCAUUUCCAUGUAACAUUUUCAAACAUAUCAUUAAUCCUCCACACACAGGAAACAUUAGUGCAAAAUGCUUGCCCUCAUCUACCAGAUAAGGAGAAACCCAACGCCCUUCACAUUUUAGAAGUUUGCCUUCCUAAUAAUAAUAAUUAAUAAAACAAACCCAAAUAAUAAAAAAAAAGAAAAAGAAAUGAAAGAAAAUGGAAAAGGAAAAAAAAAAGAAAAAGAAAGAAAAACCCCCAAAAUAUACAGGAAGUUGUGCUAGGUAUAAAAAUAUAUAUUUUCACUGUGCAACUUGACUCUCUUCAGACUC